rnacentral:snRNA from 1 species
AAUCCUUUGGUCAAGGGUA